rnacentral:rRNA from 1 species
GUUGAACGCUGGCGGCAUGCCUUACACAUGCAAGUCGAACGGUAACACGUCUUCGUUUCCUGUCUGGCGUCGACCGCGGGCGUAAUACUUCCAAACGUACCCGCUCGCGGUGGGUAACGAGUCGCUAGCUUUGCUAAUACCUCAUACCAUCUACUGUUUAAAACCGCGGAUUUUCGUACCUCGCGCCGGCUUUGCUGCCGCUGGCAGAUUAGGUAGUUGGUGGGAUAAAAGCUUACCAAGCCGACGAUCUGUAGCUGGUCUGAGAGGAUGAUCAGCCACACUGGGACUGAGACACGGCCCAGACUCCUACGGGAGGCAGCAGUGGGGAAUCUUGGACAAUGGGCGAAAGCCUGAUGCAGCAAUGCCGCGUGAAGGAUGAAGGCCUUCGGGUUGUAAAAUGCUUUUAUAAGGAAAGAAAAGACUCGUACGAAAAAAGAGGGGUCAUGACGGUACCGUAAGAAUAAGCACCGGCUAACUACGUG